rnacentral:lncRNA from 1 species
GGGAAACACUUUAGAAGACCAGUAGAACACAAACAUACUAUAGAUUUAUGAAAAUAAAUAGAGAAGAAUCUCGAAUAGCUUAGGGUUUCGGAGAAAUCCUAGAAAUGAGAAAGGCUUGGAAGAAAAAUCAGAUCCUGAGUCAAAGAGGUCAGGAAUCAGGCUCCUAAGGCUUGAAUAUGCCGGAACAUGGCCGGAGAAGCCAUAGAACUGAAGAUCUGAAAGAAAACUAUCGAAGUCAGCCUUCAAAACCUCGAACAGCCAAUGAAUAAUGGUGGCGAGGGGUGAGUACAUACCAUCCAUGGCCUAAGAAUCCAUGGAUUUUGGUGAAAACAUGGUGAAAUAAGGGAGGAGAAGGCUAGGGUUUCGAAGAGCUGUUGAGAGGAUUUGAGAGAGUUUGAGAUCCAAAGGUGG